GUAUUAUAUUGCGUUAAACGCGGUAUACAUUCCAUGAGACUUCAUUACGUUGUGUGUGUAAAGACGCAGAACCACAGCAGAGGAGGACAGAGCCCCCAGGGCCACAGAACUACGGAGGGUGCACAGGUGUGAGUGGAUGUGUAAACAGAGUGUGCACAUGCCCCCAUGCGAGGACCAGCAACAACUCGUGUUGACAAUUCAGUAAUGAUCCUUCCGCAGGUUCACCUACGGAAA
rnacentral:misc_RNA from 1 species